rnacentral:rRNA from 1 species
ACGGAAGGCAGCAGUGGGGAAUAUUGGGCAAUGGGCGGAAGCCUGACCCAGCAACGCCGCGUGAAGGAAGAAGGUUUUCGGAUUGUAAACUUCUGUCCUUGGUGACGAAGGAAGUGACGGUAGCCAAGGAGGAAGCCCCGGCUAACUACGUGCCAGCAGCCGCGGUAAUACGUAGGUGGCAAGCGUUAUCCGGAUUUACUGGGUGUAAAGGGCGCGUAGGCGGGGAUGCAAGUCAGAUGUGAAAUCUAUGGGCUCAACUCAUAAACUGCAUUUGAAACUGUAUCUCUUGAGUGCUGGAGAGGUAGAUGGAAUUCCUUGUGUAGCGGUGAAAUGCGUAGAUAUAAGGAAGAACACCAGUGGCGAAGGCGAUCUACUGGACAGUAACUGACGCUGAGGCGCGAGAGCGUGGGGAGCAAACAGGAUUAGAUACCCUGGUA